CAGCCACACUGGGAMUGAGACACGGCCCAGAUUCCUACGGGAGGCAGCAGUGGGGAAUAUUGGACAAUGGGSGAAAGCCUGAUCCAGCACAUGCCGCGUGAGUGAUGAAGGCCUUAGGGUUGUAAAGCUCUUUUACCCGGGAUGAUAAUGACAGU
rnacentral:rRNA from 1 species